UAGGGGAACUAAGAAACCGUCCGCCCCCUCUGCCUUUUCGUCCUCAGCCUCUCUCUCUCUCACACAACAACAAUCUGAUACUCACAAUCUCUCUGUUACGAUGAACAACAAACAACGAAACAAAGUUCUCGCUAUCUUUCCAUCAAAAUCACGUUUCAACUCGAUUCUCAGUCAUUCUCGGUCACUCUCUCGCUCUGCUCUCUCACGAUGGAACAAGACUAAAUAACCCACACCAUCAUCAAUCCCUCAUCUCAAACACUAUUUCGAUUCAACGGAGUUAACAACAAAACCUCUCCCCUUCUCACGAUUUCGUUCAUGAAAAUACAAACAAAUAGCAAAUGCUAUCAACCACAAACAAAACCCUAACCCCUAAUCUGAAGAACUAACGAAAGGCACAAUAAUGGUAAAGGGCUUCCUAUCAAUCGCUUGGGUAUUUAUCAACAAAAGAGGUGAAACAAUGGCCUUGUCCUCACGAUUUUUCUUACAUGAUGUGUAUGGUUAUUGCAAAGAUAGAGCAGAAAAAUAAACUGAAGCAAACAACAUCAGUAACUCAGUAUUGCAACGUCACCUCAGCACCGUGGAGUUCCAGCUAGAAGCUUCUCCAUUUGGGCUUUUCAUUGGAUAUGAACAGAUGAGCAGUCAGGGCAUUUACAAGCAUCACACAAAGCUUAACAACAUAGCAGUAAAAGUUAAGUAAGUUACCUAGGAGGUAAGUAUGAUAACAAAAUUUCCUGCGAUAAUAUUAUGCUAUGUUUCCUGCAAAGGCUUCUACUCCUUCUGUAGAUUAGGGAAUGUCAAUGUUGAUCUUGCUGUCUGGGAUUCGUAUUACUACUCUGGAUGCAGGGGAGGGGUUUAGCUCAAAUAUCUCAGAGUUUCAAUGUGAGACUCUGAGUAUUUUCUUUGUGUAUUCUUGAGCUUUAAGUGGUAGGUUAGGUUUUUGUUGAAGUGAAGGUGGAGGCUGCCGAUCCCCCCCUCCUCUAGGGUUUAUCAGUAUUUAUACUAGGUCAGCUUUCAAGAAUUGGAGGGAAUAAAGGUUUAAACAAAGAUUAAAAUUUAGGUAGUUCUGAACAAUGCUUUCUUCUGUGUUGCUACUGCUUCCCCUUUUCUUACAUUUUGAUGCAAACUUUGUUAUCUUGCUGCAAGCUUUUCUAAUAUGGCAUCUGUUUCUUGCUCUUUCUGUGGCAGGUUUCUGUUUUGGCUAUUUUCAGGUAAUUGACUUGGUAGACACAGCGGGCAGCAGGCCUCUUUGGCUAGUUUUUUGGACUGGCUAUAGCAGUAGCAGCAGGGUUGUAGACUGAAUCUGAUAGCAUAACAUAUCCAAUAUCAUGAGCUUCUUGCUUGCCGUGUGAUGCCAACCGAAUUUCUUCUCUUCUUUGUUCACUUUACUCAAAUGGGCUUUUGUUUUUUUUCUUAUUGUUGUUGUAGUUAUAACUUGAUAACAUUUGAACAAAUUGGUAAAUGUAACAUUUGACUGCUUGUAGUUUUACU